rnacentral:rRNA from 1 species
GACGAACGCUGGCGGUAUGCUUAACACAUGCAAGUCGAACGAGAAGACUAUGAUUAAGCCUUCGGGUGAGAGAUUAAUUGGAAAGUGGCGAACGGGUGAGUAACGCGUGGGUAACCUGCCCUAUGGAAAGGAAUAGCCUCGGGAAACUGGGAGUAAUGCCUUAUAAUGUAUGAGAAUCGCAUGGUUUUCAUAUCAAACGCUCCGGUGCCAUAGGAUGGACCCGCGUCCCAUUAGCUAGUUGGUAAGGCAGCGGCUUACCAAGGCAACGAUGCGUAGCCGACCUGAGAGGGUGAACGGCCACAUUGGAACUGAGAGACGGUCCAGACUCCUACGGGAGGCAGCAGUGGGGAAUAUUGCACAAUGGGCGAAAGCCUGAUGCAGCAACGCCGCGUGAGUGAAGAAGGUUUUCGGAUUGUAAAGCUCUGUCAUCUGGGACGAUAAUGACGGUACCAGAUGAGGAAGCCACGGCUAACUACGUGCCAGCAGCCGCGGUAAUACGUAGGUGGCAAGCGUUGUCCGGAAUUACUGGGCGUAAAGGGUGCGCAGGCGGACAUUUAAGUGAGAUGUGAAAGACCCGGGCUUAACUUGGGCAGUGCAUUUCAAACUGGAUGUCUGGAGUGCAGGAGAGGAGAACGGAAUUCCUAGUGUAGCGGUGAAAUGCGUAGAGAUUAGGAAGAACACCAGUGGCGAAGGCGGUUCUCUGGACUGUAACUGACGCUGAGGCACGAAAGCGUGGGUAGCAAACAGGAUUAGAUACCCUGGUAGUCCACGCCGUAAACGAUGAGUACUAGGUGUAGGAGGUAUCGACCCCUUCUGUGCCGCAGUAAACACAAUAAGUACUCCGCCUGGGAAGUACGAUCGCAAGAUUAAAACUCAAAGGAAUUGACGGGGGCCCGCACAAGCAGCGGAGCAUGUGGUUUAAUUCGAAGCAACGCGAAGAACCUUACCUGGACUUGACAUCCCCUGCAUAUCUUAGAGAUAAGAGAAGCCCUUCGGGGCAGGGAGACAGGUGGUGCAUGGUUGUCGUCAGCUCGUGUCGUGAGAUGUUAGGUUAAGUCCUGCAACGAGCGCAACCCCUAUUGUUAGUUGCUAGCAGUAAGAUGAGCACUCUAACGAGACAGCCGCGGUUAACGCGGAGGAAGGUGGGGAUGACGUCAAAUCAUCAUGCCCCUUAUGUCCAGGGCAACACACGUGCUACAAUGGGCAGAACAGAGAGAAGCAAGACCGCGAGGUGGAGCGAACCUUGAAAACUGCUCCCAGUUCGGAUUGCAGGCUGAAACCCGCCUGCAUGAAGCUGGAGUUGCUAGUAAUCGCGAAUCAGCAUGUCGCGGUGAAUACGUUCCCGGGCCUUGUACACACCGCCCGUCACACCAUGAGAGCUGGCAACACCCGAAGUCCGUAGUCUAACGAAAGAGGACGCGGCCGAAGGUGGGGUUAGUGAUUGGGGUG